ACACUGUACGAGUUUGAUCAUGGCUCAGAACGAACGCUGGCGGCUUGCUUAACACAUGCAAGUCGAACGUGAAAGGCUUCGGCCGAGUAAAGUGGCGCACGGGUGAGUAACGCGUGGGUAAUCUGCCCUUGGGCGGGGGAUAACCUCUCGAAAGGGGGGCUAAUACCGCAUGAGACCACGGCUUUUCGGGGCUGUGGGAAAAGGUGGGUCGCAAGGCCUGCCACCUGAGGAUGAGCCCGCGUACCAUUAGGUUGUUGGUGGGGUAAUGGCCUACCAAGCCGAAGAUGGUUAGCUGGUCUGAGAGGACGAUCAGCCACACUGGGACUGAGACACGGCCCAGACUCCUACGGGAGGCAGCAGUGGGGAAUAUUGCGCAAUGGGGGAAACCCUGACGCAGCAACGCCGCGUGUGUGAAGAAGGCCUUCGGGUCGUAAAGCACUGUUGGGAGGAACGAGCCGCUCGUGGGGAAUAUCUGCGAGCCCGACGGUACCUCCUGAGGAAGCACCGGCUAACUCCGUG
rnacentral:rRNA from 1 species